rnacentral:lncRNA from 1 species
UUUUUUUGUUUUUUUGUUUUUUUUUUUUUUGGUUAGUUUUGAGACUAACUAGGGAGAAGGUGAGAGCCAAGUGACAGAAAAUUAGCAGAGCUUGAUACUCUUGUUAGAAGUUCAGGCCUCUCCCAUAUGUAAACUUACUGAGCCAUCAGAGAAAUUCCUUGCCCAUUUCCUUUCCAGCUGACCUCGGGGUGGGGUUGGGGGGACGGUUACAGAGAUGCUCUGAGAAGCCAGGCUGCCUGGGAACAGGCUGAGCAGCCCCAAUAGCUUCGUAAAGUGUGUGAUGGGCAUAACUGGUACCCACGUUAAUUGUGAGGACCACCCAUGCCCCCGAGGAUGGCAGGAACCAGUGGGGUCAGAACCAAGUUGUAGCGGUUUCAGGGUACUGCUCCCUGAAUUAACAUAACAUUACCCCUUAUAAGUACGGCACGGUAGCUCUCACAAGUUAUUCCACCAAGCGGCAGUUAGUAAUCAUUAUCCUCACUUGCACAGAUGAGGAAACAAGGCCCAGAGAGAUUAAGUGACUUGCCCAAGGUCGCACAGCAAGUUAGUGGCAAAGGCCAGAUUAGAACCCUGAGCCCCAAGGUGCCCAGGCCGCCGGCGGGCAGCUCCAUGAGAUCCUCAGCCAUCAGUCCAGAGCAUGGGCAGAGCCAGGUCUGCACCCUCAGGAGCCGUGGAGGCCGGGUGAGCUGCUGCAGAGGGCACAGGCAGGCUCAUACUCACAGGCAGAAACCUGCAGCAUCCUUCUCUGCACCACCAGACAGCAACACCCCUGUGCUGGAACAGACAGAAACAAGGCUCAAGUCGGGAAAGCCAUGGGCGGCCACUGUGGGCCUGCAUCUCCGCUUCUGGAAUCUGGCUUUGAGAUCCUGCCUCCUUUCCCUUUGUGACCCAGGUCAGCUCUCGAGGACAGAACUGGGAGACGAGAGGCUCUUGUUGCCUGGGAUGCAUUCAUUCACUCUUUGACCCCCAUCAUAUCCAGGGCACUUACUCUAUGCCUGGCAGGGCCCUAGGGGCUGAGGAGGAGGGACCCUUGGAGGAGAAAGACAUCCUUGGCUUGAUUAGGUUUCAGGAGAAACAGACAAAGAGACAGAUCACGGUAAGACAAUGUGACUUUAAUUCAACAAAUAUUUGUUGGGCCCUUACGAUAUGCUCUACCUAAAACAGGGGGGGAACUAUGGAGCCACUCUGGGAAGGCUUCCUGGAGGAGGAGGCCUGUGGGUUAAGUCCUGAAGAUUGAGGAGAGGUUCACUGAGGGGCUAAUCCCUUCCUGGCUAAAGGGACACGGAUGAGGAAGGGGUCUGAAACUGCUUUGAGGACUUCUUUCUAAAUCAGCCCUUGCUCAUAUGAGAACAGGAAUUCUACCCUUUUGAAACCCAGUUCUCAGGGACUCCUUAUCUUGUCUCUGACUGUCUGAGUGGUUCCUUAAUCUCUUUAGGCCUCCGUGGACCUGUGUCUCCAACGGGAGUGAAAAAAGUCCUGUGUUUCAGAGCGUGAUUCCAGGCUUUGGAGAAAAGUCCUUGAGAAACAAUGCGGCCGAUGGCAUCCUCCUGCCUUCACUCGCCACUUACAACAGGAAAUUGGUUGUAUUUAUAAGAAUCACAAGCCUAAACGGGCCUCUGCUGGGCUACCCGCAGCCCCCCCCACCCCAUUCCCCUCUCUCCCCAAGUCACACAUCCUCCCUCCAAGAUUCCUCAGGGACCACAGGGCAAGUAGUGCAGAGAGUUGCUCAUAAAGCCGAUGAGCGAGCACUGGAAGUUAUUUUCUAGAUGAGGAAACCGAGGCCGUGGGUCUUCCGGUUCCCAAGCCGCUGCCUCUUCAUUGCACCCCAACUGCUCUCAGCCUGGGCUCCUCCGGCAGACGUGCCAUCCUCCCUCGGCUGGGGGAAAGUCUCCCUCCUCUGGAUGACACACGUCUUUAGAGAAACAUUUCCCACCAUUAAAGGGAUUUGGAAGAAAACUGGUGCAGCUUCCUCGGCUUUGAAGCGCGGUGGCCCCUCCUGGCCCUUUAAUUGUGCUUGGAACCAGCCCAGUUCCCAGAGCUCCCGCCCCUUCAGAAGAGGGGAAGGGCCCAGAGCCCUCCUGGCCUUUCUGCACCAAAGGUGACCUCUUAGUUCUUGUUUCAGGCCAUUUCAUUGCCAAAGCAUCAAGGGCUCCCACACAAAGAGCUUCAAAGCUAGGAGGGCUCAGGGUCAAGUACAACCAUGAGCAAACCCUGAGCUUUGGAUUCUGAAGCAUCGCCUUUGAGACCGUGUUCCAGCAGAGUUCCCACAGCCUUUUAAAGCCUAUAAUAGCUUCAGGUGAGUGACAUUUGAUUUUUGCAGCUAUCACACGAUUUGGCUAAACCACAUCAGGUGAGCAUGGAGGGAGUAUCCGUUUCAUGCCACACUUGCUCUUAAUUUUCCAAGCGAGGAAGGUGUGUAUAUAAUUAUCUUUCUUCAAUAGCUCUCAGUGUUGGCUACUCAUGAGAAUCAUCUGAAGAGCUUUAAAAACUAAAGGCUCUAAGUGGAACCCCUAGACCAAUUAAAUCAGAAUGUCUUGGGUGGAGCCUCUAUACAACCAUACUUGUUAAAGCACCCCCAAUGGUUCCCACGGGUGACUAAGGUUAAAGAAGCACUGCCUUAAGUAGGACGUUAACAGGGAAAAACCUGAACUCCCACCCAUACAGGUGAUGUUUCCGAAGGCAAAAUGAAGAUCAACCCCGUUCAUCUUUUAAUUAAUUUUUCGUUUUCAGACCUUCCCUGACCACCGAUCUCAUGAUUCCCAUAUAAGCUUUCAAGUAUUUUUACUAGCUUGACUCUUUCCAGCUCACCUCCACCUUCCAGUGCCCUAGAACGAAGUGCCCUCUCCUGGGAAUCAGGUGAUCUGACUCAGAAACCAAAGAACACGGAAAAAGAAUGAUUACGCUUUCAACCAAUUACUGUCAUCCAAAUUACAGUGACUAUCUCACCCCUGCCUGUUUGGAUCCAAGUGUGAUGCAAUUUCAGGAAGCUUUGGCGUGGAUGUUCCAAGAGCAAUCCACAGAUAGUAGGUCAGUCACAUUUGGCCCUGGACACAGUCACCAGCUGGAGGAGCAGUAGGAACCAGAAGCCUUGACCAUGUGGUGUGAGUUCAGCCAAUGGGCUCACAGACAGUGAUACAAGGAUGCCCUUGGGAGAUUCAUAAAUAUGUAAACAUCCAAGGAUGGGAACCGACUCAAGGGACUUCAGAGGACUGAGCACAGCUUAUACCACGCCAAAGAGAACCAGGUACAAGAGAUGGCAACUCUACCAUCUCUUUCUAGGACAGCUCUUAUAAAAGUCCCACCUCUUUGGGGAAGACAAUCCACUUACUCUCUCCACCGCCACCUUGGUUUUGCUUAAGAGAAGCAUGGCUGUCACAAUGGCUCAGAAGGGAUGAGGAGCAAGCCUGGAGAUGUUUCUGCCUCACACACCAGGGAGUGGUCCAAACGCUCUUUACCUCCAGACACUUCUUUACAUCUUACAGAGCAACGGAAAAUCAGCCCAGAACCUACAGAUGAUAGGCUCGUUUUGGAGAUGUAUAGUACGUGACAUGCAGGCGGGGGAACAUGGAAAACAAUUUCUCCUACAAAUUAAACACUUGAGACUCUGGAGCUGGUGAUGAGGCGUUCUACCUAUGUGGGAGGAGGGAGAGCUCAAAAAAAAUGGGCAUUUAGAAACAGAAGGAGGUGUUUAAAUAACAAAUGUUAGAAAUGUCACAAAUAAUUCUUUACGGUUUUUACAUAUGUUCUGAAAGCCCAAGUAUAUCCUGCUUUUCCAUUUAAUUUUGUUGUUCAGACCACCAUACCUAGUCAUUCCAUAAUUGUUCUAUCUUCCAAAAAAAAAAAAAAAAAAAAAAAAAAUUCGAGGAGACCACAGAUAGUAGUAUUCUGGCUGAUGUCUCAACAUGCUUAAUUUUGCACAGAUCGACUUUCCAAUUCUAUGAGUAUUCAAAGCACAACUCAUCUUCUCAAGUGAACGGGGACAUCCACAUCCUUCAGAGGCAAGGCAGGUGGGGCAAAUCCCCAGAUUCCUCAGCUGAAAGGUAUAGUAAACACAUCAGUAGGCCCUUCCCCAGUGAAACCUGCAGAGAAGAUUUUUCUCCAGAAUUAAGCACUAAAGGCUGAGUCGGAUUAGCCUCUGCAAUCCAGAUAACUCUCAAAUGCAUCCACGUAGCACUCUGAUUUACUGCGAAAUGAGGAGGCAGAGACAUGUGUUACCAAAAACAUAUCACACUGAACUGGAAACCAAAUUUCUUCAGUUGGCAAAAAAAAAAAAACCUCUUCGGGAUGGUGGAGGGUGGAAGGAUUUUAAACUUUCAAAAGAUUUACCAAGAAGACUUUCGCAGGUUAAGGGUCAAGUCAAAAGGUAUUCAUUUAAAAACUUUCUGAUAAUAACUGGGCACUGGGAAAGCCUAUCCAGAGUGUCAUCCUUUGCCCUAACUCAGCAAGAUUCAUAUACUGAUUUGAGAAAGGAGCUUGCAAGCUGGACCGACAGUCAGGAGCUAACACGAUUCAGGAAGGGCAGGCUCCGAGCUAGAAGGGACCCUCGGGAGGCAACUCAAGUCUUGAUUUCCCUGGGAGGGUCCCUCCCAAAGGGCAGGAGGAGGGGGACCCAGUGGGGGAGGGAGCCAUUCUAGAAGGAGAGGGGCUGGGGCUUCUUCAACUGUUCUGAGAGUACAGAAGGACGCAUUCAGCCAUUCAGGCACAAAACUGACGUGAUCUACGCAGAAUUUGAGGGAAAAAAAAAAAAAAAAA